rnacentral:lncRNA from 1 species
GGCGUGGUGGCGUGUGAAUUGCUCUAAAGCCUUGAGAUCAAAUCUUAAGAAUACUUCUUCUUCCUCUCCAAAAAAAGAGUUCAUUCCUCUCUCCUACAUUGUUUGGCGUGCACGCGAAGUAGAGGAUCCAUACAUCUAGAUCUCAUGAAGCAUAUUGAUUGAGGAGCUUCUUUAACCUUGAUUAUUUUCUACUAUGAAUCAAAGUGAGAAUUUAUAAGUAUUAUAAAAAUUUUAAUUGCUAAUCUAUUCUACUUUUCUGAUGUCUGAUACGAUCGGACAAAUUUUUUCUUCAAUUAGUAUCAGAGCCAGUCCUGUAUGUUAUGAUCGUAUAAUCAA